AUUGAACGCUGGCGGCAGGCCUAACACAUGCAAGUCGAGCGAGCGGCGGACGGGUGAGUAAUGUAUGGGGACUGCCCGAUCGAGGGGGAUAACUACUGGGAACGGGGGCUAAUACCGCAUACUAUCGGAUCACCCAGAUGGGAUUAGCUAGUAGGAGGGGUAAAGGCUCACCUGGGCGACGAUCACUAGCUGGUCUUAGAGGAGGAGCAUCCAACCUGGGACUGAGACACGGCCCAGACUCCUACGGAGGCAGCAGUGGGGAAUAUUGGACAAUGGGCGCAAGGCUGAUGGAGCAAUGCCGCGUGGAUGAAGAAGUCCUUAGGGUUGUAAAGUACUGUCAUCGGGGAGGCGUUACCCGCAGAAGAAGCACCGGCUAACUCCGUGCCAGCCGCCGCGGUAAUUC
rnacentral:rRNA from 1 species